CCUACGGGAGGCAGCAGUGGGGAAUAUUGGACAAUGGGGGCAACCCUGAUCCAGCCAUGCCGCGUGUGUGAAGAAGGCCCUCGGGGUGUAAAGCACUUUCAGUGAGGAAGAACGCCUGGUGGUUAAUACCCAUCAGGAAAGACAUCACUCACAGAAGAAGCACCGGCUAACUCCGUGCCAGCAGCCGCGGUAAUACGGAGGGUGCGAGCGUUAAUCGGAAUAACUGGGCGUAAAGCGCGCGUAGGUGGCUUGAUAAGCCGGUUGUGAAAGCCCCGGGCUCAACCUGGGAACGGCAUCCGGAACUGUCAAGCUAGAGUGCAGGAGAGGAAGGUAGAAUUCCCGGUGUAGCGGUGAAAUGCGUAGAGAUCGGGAGGAAUACCAGUGGCGAAGGCGGCCUUCUGGACUGACACUGACACUGAGGUGCGAAAGCGUGGGUAGCAAACAGGAUUAGAUACCCGGGUAGUC
rnacentral:rRNA from 1 species